rnacentral:lncRNA from 1 species
UGGGCUAGUAAAUUAGUAAUAGGGCCUAUUGUUUUUUUUCCCCAAAAAGCCUACAUAUUGGGAAGGCCCAAAAUCUAAAAAUUAAAAAAUUGUCCCAACUAAACUCUUCUUCCUCCUCCCUUCUUCUUCCCUGUCGGCGAGUUAAUUUCUUCCUCCUGCUAGCUGUAACUUUCUUCCUCCUGCCCUUCUUCCCUGUUGACGCCACUGCCUACAGACAGCAAGCACACUUUCUUCUUCUUCCUUCCCUUUUC